ensembl:snoRNA
GACAGGCUACAAAGCCACAGAGAAACCCUGUCUCGAAAAGCAACAACAACAGAAAAAGAGUUUGAACUUUGUUGAUUGUAUAGUCAAAGGUGCUUGAGUUGUUGACCUGAGAUCAAUAUACCUAAUAUACCUGCAUGUUAGUCUUAGGUUCUGACAGAAUGACUUGCCUGGUGUUGUUGCUGUCAGGACUCCACUGGUGUGCAGACACU